GUGGGUGUUGGAGGCUUUAAGGUAGCUUUAAAUUCGUGUUGUCCUGGGAGCUCGCCCUUUUCGGCUGGAGUCGGGCUUUACGGCGCCGGAUGGCUCUGGACGUGAAGUCUCGGGCAAAGCGUUAUGAGAAGCUGGACUUCCUUGGGGAGGGACAGUUUGCCACCGUUUACAAGGCCAGAGAUAAGAACACCAACCAAAUUGUCGCCAUUAAGAAAAUCAAACUUGGACAUAGAUCAGAAGCUAAAGAUGCUCCUUGAUGCUUUUGGACAUAAAUCUAAUAUUAGCCUUGUCUUUGAUUUUAUGGAAACUGAUCUAGAGGUUAUAAUAAAGGAUAAUAGUCUUGUGCUGACACCAUCACACAUCAAAGCCUACAUGUUGAUGACUCUUCAAGGAUUAGAAUAUUUACAUCAACAUUGGAUCCUACAUAGGGAUCUGAAACCAAACAACUUGUUGCUAGAUGAAAAUGGAGUUCUAAAACUGGCAGAU
rnacentral:lncRNA from 1 species